rnacentral:rRNA from 1 species
UGGGGAAUUUUGGACAAUGGGCGAAAGCCUGAUCCAGCAAUGCCGCGUGUGUGAAGAAGGCCUUCGGGUUGUAAAGCACUUUUGUCCGGAAAGAAAUCCUUGGCUCUAAUACAGUCGGGGGAUGACGGUACCGGAAGAAUAAGCACCGGCUAACUACGUGCCAGCAGCCGCGGUAAUACGUAGGGUGCAAGCGUUAAUCGGAAUUACUGUGCGUAAAGCGUGCGUAGGCGGUUUGCUAAGACCGAUGUGAAAUCCCCGGGCUCAACCUGGGGAACUGCAUUGGUGACUGGCAGGCUAGAGUAUGGCAGAGGGGGGUAGAAUUCCACGUGUAGCAGUGAAAUGCGUAGAGAUGUGGAGGAAUACCGAUGGCG